ACACAACUGCACUUCACAGUCACUUAUGAUCAUGACACCCAGAUGCUGAAUAGCUGGGUUCUGUGUUCCUGACUCAACAAACAGGAGAGUUUCCUACUAGCCCCUUAAGGAACAUUGCCUUAUUGUUUAAGAGAAUGUUUGGGAGUUAUCACAGUCUCCUUCCGUCUCCAGGCCUUCUCUCCAAGGCUGGUUGUUAUGUUAAUCUUGGACAAUUAAGAGGAAGAUAUCCAAAUAAACAUAAAAAUAUAUUAAAAGGAGGAAAAAAGUCUUGGUUAUAAAGGAAGCUCAGGCAAAUCUGAAAAAUUAAUAUAUAAUAAUAAUCAGUCACAAAUUCCAGAGAUUUUUCACCACUGAGUAGAUGCUUUCUAGGUAUUUCAAUUGUGUCAUGUAAUUGUGAAGCUUGAGGAACCAAGAAACUCCAGAAGGCUUCUGAAUAGAAGAAAAGAUGUACAAUGUUAUUAUCAUCAUCGGUAUGGCAUCUUUACACAGAAGCCAGCUGACCUCACAGAUUUCAAAGUAGGUGCUGAUUUGAAUAUCAAGUUACUUCUCCCUUUACUGUUAUUUUCUAGUAUCAAUUGAAGAAUGUCCUCUUGAUAGAGAGGCAAUAAACUCACAGUGCACACUGAGACGUGUGUUUUUGGACCUGGCCAGUGGGAUAAUUUGUUUUUCUUGACUGCAUGCUUGUUACAAGGUUUUUGUUUUUUGUUUUUUUUUCCUUUUUUAAUGAUGUUGGGGAGAAAUAAGGUGGAUUUUCAUUAAUUGAAAAAAAAAGAGUUAAAAAAAAGUUGGUAAGUACCCUUGACCAAGGCAAGAAGAUUACCAAAUCUUUGCCUAUUAAUUUUGCCCUAUACUCAGAGGGGCCCAAUGAAUAGGCAAAGAAGAUGUUAAGCUCAUCCAUCUUUUGGCUUCUUUGGAGGUCUCUUGAAUAGUUUUACAUCUGUACUGUUAGGGAGAUAUCGAUGGGAGAUUUGGAAUCUCAUUUUUCUCACUAACACUUCGAUCUCUGUGAACAGGGAUUAAUGGCAUCCUUGUUUGAAAAUAAUGCUUUUUUUUUUUUUUUUAAACUGACAAUUCUUUGCCUGGUAUUAAAUAUUCUUUAAGCAUACAGAUCCAGGAGCUAUAUCUUAAAACUGAAUUUUCUUUGGGAUAAAAACCCAAAGACAUUCUAUGUUGCUUUCUUUUCAUUGUCUUAAAUAUUUGUUUUUCCUUUCAGGGACUGGGUAAGGUUUUGGAGAAGAAAAGAAAAAAAAAAAUCUCCUAAACGUGAUUUAUCAACUUUCUUAAAAUAGAAUUUGGAGAAGUGGCUCCCAGAUCAGUGGGAAGACAGCAAAAAUAAACAGCAAUGAAGUGAUUUCAAUAGGGAAGAGCUCAUUAGGCUGCCCACUUCCAAAUUUAGCCCUCAAGCAUUUUUUUUAAUUAAAAAAUAUUUUUAACCUGAAUUCUUAUUGGUUCAAGAGAAGUCUGGGUGGUUUCUGAAUUCUUGGAAACCAUUUCCUUUUCUUCUGUUAAAUUUAUGCUAUCCUUUAACCACUUUAAAAUCAAUUAAAAUUAUAAAGAAAAAAAUUUAGAAAAAUAAUAUAGGAUUCCAAGAACCAAUGGGCAUUUGAGAUAAGAUGUUUCAUACACUUCCAAAAUGGAAGUAUCCCUGGGUCUUACUGGACUUCUGAGGUCCAACAUAUAUUGUUCAAUUUGGGAAUGAAGUAAGUGGAGUUUUCUAAUGUAAUGUACACUAGAAAAGAGUAACUAAAAAGUUAUAGUACAACCUAUUUUCAGCUCUGUGAUUAGUGAUGUGGCCAUCCUAUUUAUAUGAUGAUAAUUUAAAUAUGAAUGGAGCCCUCAAACCAAAAUGGUGGGAGGGAAAAUGUUGGUCACAAAUGAAAUAGUCUGCUGCAAUCCAUUAAGUCAAAUGAAAUAUAUGUUCUAAGUACCAUAUAAGAUACUGCCACUGAAUUAGUGUACUCACAAU